rnacentral:rRNA from 1 species
GUGGGGAAUAUUGGACAAUGGGCGAAAGCCUGAUCCAGCCGUGCCGCGUGUGUGAAGAAGGUCUUCGGAUUGUAAAGCACUUUAAGUUGGGAGGAAGGGCAGUAAGUUAAUACCUUGCUGUUUUGACGUUACCGACAGAAUAAGCACCGGCUAACUUCGUGCCAGCAGCCGCGGUAAUACGAAGGGUGCAAGCGUUAAUCGGAAUUACUGGGCGUAAAGCGCGCGUAGGUGGUUUUGUAAGUUGGAGGUGAAAUCCCCGGGCUCAACCUGGGAACUGCCUCCAAAACUGCAUGACUAGAGUACGGUAGAGGGUAGUGGAAUUUCCUGUGUAGCGGUGAAAUGCGUAGAUAUAGGAAGGAACACCAGUGGCGAAGGCGACUACCUGGACUGAUACUGACACUGAGGUGCGAAAGCGUGGGGAGCAAACAGGAUUAGAAACCCUGGUAGUCC